rnacentral:rRNA from 1 species
UGGGGAAUAUUGCACAAUGGGCGAAAGCCUGAUGCAGCAACGCCGCGUGAGUGAUGAAGGCCUUCGGGUUGUAAAGCUCUGUCUUUUGGGACGAUAAUGACGGUACCAAAGGAGGAAGCCACGGCUAACUACGUGCCAGCAGCCGCGGUAAUACGUAGGUGGCAAGCGUUGUCCGGAUUUUACUGGGCGUAAAGGAUGCGUAGGCGGAUUUUUAAGUGAGAUGUGAAAUACCCGGGCUUAACUUGGGUGCUGCAUUUCAAACUGGGAAUCUAGAGUGCGGGAGGGAGAAUGAAUUCCUAGUGUAGCGGUGAAAUGCGUAGAGAUUAGGAAGAACACCAGUGGCGAAGGCGAUUCUCUGGACCGUAACUGACGCUGAGGCAUGAAAGCGUGGGAUAGCAAACAGGAUUAGAUACCCCUGGUAGUCCACGCCGUAAACGAUGAGUACUAGGUGUA